GACGAAUUUCGAUGUCGACCGUCAAGGGAAAUCAAUUUUAGUAAUAGCAAACUAUAUAUAGAGCCAACGAAAUGACGAUUACAUUUUCUAACGCGGCGUGAAUUUUUAUUGCCUUUAAUUAGGCAUCUCCAUCGUUGAAGUCCUUAUUAAGAAACUCUCGACAAGAAAAAAAAAAAAAAAGAGAGAGAGAAAAGAAACGAGAGUCGCGUGCGACUUAAAAUUUUUUGAAAUGUCAAAAAAAUUCAUGACUCGUUGUUCGUCGACGAAUUUGAAGAUACGCGGAGUUAAACGAGAUUUUAAUAUUUAUGGAUUGCGUACGUACAGUUCCAAAUAAGAAAAUUUGCGAGUAUUGUUUAUUACUCGUCGUGAUUAAAAACAUUGAAAUAUAUAAUUAGCUCGUUUCGCAUGUAACAAAGCGUGUAAGUAGACAAGGAGAAUCUUAAAGAUGAUCUAACUUAAAAGGAUAAUUUAAUAGAUUUAUUUAUAUACCUAUGUAUAUACGACAAAAGAAAAAAGAAAAAAGUCGUCUGGAUUGCGUCUGGAUAACGUUUGGAUUGCGUCACGCGAAAAGGAAGAUAGCCAUCUCGGUAAUAUCCGAAUUUCACGAACUUUAUCUACAGAAAUAUCACGUAUCGCCAAUUAAAGAGACGAAACCAUCGUAAGUUACAAUAAUGAUAUGGCCAGUGAACCUACGACGCAUCUCCGUAUGACUAAUUAAAAAGCCGCCAUAGUGUUUCGUUACACGGCAGGAACGGGUCGUUAAACCGUAAAACGAACACGUUUGUACCUUUUCGACUUCUUCUCCUUUGUUUUUCGAGGUAAACAACGGACACAAAACUUUGAAGAUGCAAAAUUAUUCAAAUAGAACAUUGCGAUACCCAUUGAAAAACGUAAUGGUGGCGACAAAGUAAAAGUAAAAA